GACGAACGCUGGCGGCGUGCUUAACACAUGCAAGUCGAACGGAAAGGCCUUUUCUGGGGUACUCGAGUGGCGUACGGGUGGGUAACAUGUGGGUGAUCUGCCCUUCACUCUGGGAUAAGCCUGGGAAACUGGGUCUAAUACCGGAUAGGACCGCACUAUAGCGUGUGUGUUGGCAAGCUUUUUCGGUGUAGGAUGAGCCCGCGGCCUAUCAGCUUGUUGGUGGUGUAAUGGUCUACUAAGGCGGAGACGGGCAGCCGGACUGGGAGGUUGGGCGGCCACAUUGGGACUGAGAUACAGACACGGCCCAGACGGGAAGGAGCGGUAGGGAAGGGUGAACAAGGAGAGCGAGCGUGAUGCUGAGCCGCCGAGUGGGGGAUGACGGUCUAGGGGUUGGAAACGCAAAGCGCCAGGGACGGAGCGUAUUGUGACGGUACCUGGAGAAGAAGCACCGGCUAACUACGUG
rnacentral:rRNA from 1 species